CGCGGGGUGGAGCAGUGGUAGCUUGCAAGGCUCAUAACCUUGAGGUCGGCGGUUCAAAUCCGCCCCCCGCAA
rnacentral:tRNA from 1 species